CUUGGCACUCUAGGAAUCGUCUC
rnacentral:miRNA from 1 species